UAAACACAAAUCCCAAUUUCAAUUUUGUGUUUUUCGUUGAAUGUUCAAACAUAGACCUGAUUAAAGAAGCAAAUUAAUGUACUUAAGGGAAUGCAAUCAAUCCCUUACCGUGAGUCAAUUGUGGUUUUUUAAGGAAUGCCAUCCGUUAGUGCAUCUGCCAGGCUGUCCAUAUCACUUAAUUGUCCAGUGCAUCUCCUAUGCUCUUUGGAAGGAUUUUCAAAAAAGAAUCCUAGUUCUAAGCGAUGGAAGAAUCUUAUAAUAUGUCUGACCCCAGACCUUGUUGGCGGAUAGCAAAUCUGCGUUUUAUGCCAUGACCAAGGAUACAGAGCUCGUGUGAACAGUCUUGUGAAUAAAGGUCUGGAUCGAUCUCAUGACUCCAAACAUGUAUGGACUAAACUGCUUCUGGUCCCUUGUUCAAAACAAAGACCGUGCCCCAGUCCUGAGGAGGUUACGAGCAGACAACUGCAUGUGAUUGUCAGUGCGAGCAGACGCGUCCCUGAAAUGAUAUGGGACUAAGCUUUAAACAUUGUGGCCUUGUGAAAAGAAACCGUGGGAGAUAUACACUUUGUUUUUAAAUUAAACAAUGUUUUAUUGAAUCAAAAAUAAAAACUAGUUCAUUUGCAAUAUGUGUUUAAUUCACCCAGUUACACAUAUUUACUAUUAUUGUACAUAUGAGCCUUGCUCUGGGAAAACAGGGUUUACUGCAUGUGCCUAAAGUGUUAUCCCAGAUUAGCAAGACUAAGUGAAGUCCAAACAGGCUAAUCAGGGAUGACACUUCCCACUUAAACUGUUGUUGUUGUUUUUUUUAAAGAAAUUACUUCCUGUGCAGUCAGCACAGGCUAAUCAGAGAAGAAACUUUACGCACAUGCAUAAAGCCCCGUUUUCUCAGAGACAGAGCACAGCUCAAAAAUAACGCAAAUUCAUCCAAAAGAAAAUUUCUUGUGUAUUUAAAUAAUUACAUGCAGCAAUAUUCUGUCAUAGCUUUUCAUAGUACAUGGCAUUUUAAAGAUGCUGAAUCUGUAAA